CUUCAUUUCUUCUUUUCCUUCUAUUCUUCCUUCUUUUCUAUUCUACCCGAACACACACAGAGAGAGUCGGAGAGACUGAGGGAGGAGAGAAAUAGAGAGAUGAGACCGAGAGAGAACCGAGAGAUGUGAGAGCCGAGAGAUGCUGAGAGAGAGAUGAGAUCGGGAGAGUUGAGGAGUGAUCGGAGCCCGAUCCUCCGGUGGGUGGCGCCGUCGAGACCAGAGGACGCCGGCGACGCGAUCUCCGGUGAGCCCGUGAACCAGAGAUGACCCGGGAGAGAGAGAACCCGAAACCCAUAGAACCCGUGACCCACAACCUGUGAGGACCCGAUCCUCCAUGAUCGGCGACUGGGACUGAAAUCCGGCGAUGGUGGAGCUCCGGCGAAAUCCAGGAGCUUGAACCCGCGACCCGUGAGCCCAGAAAACCCGAGACCCGUAGCAGACCUGAGCUGAACCCAACUAUUCCCGGUGGAAUUCUGGUUGUUGGAGGAGCGGCUUAUGGAGCUGUGGUGGUCGGACCACCGUUGUACUGUGGAGGCAGUGGCUGGAGCAAGGGAUUUUGGCCCCUGUUUUGGAUUGUGUUGUAAUUGGAGACUUCAAUGGUUCUCCAAGGUAGAGUUCGAGUAAUUGGAAUCCAGUGGGAGUUCGAGUCAGGAGUCUAAUGCAGCCAAGAUGAUGUUUCUUUGGCUGCAGGUACUACGGUAUAGUCGAUGGGUCGGUAGCAGUGUGCUUGGGAUAUUAUGACUGAAGCUCACCGCGACGGUUGUAAUUGUCGGACCACUGGUUGUCCACUAUUUUAUAGGAUUGGUAUAGCUUGUGAUGUUUGUGUCACAUAUUCUUUGUAAAGCUAUAGUAGUUUUGUAAAUAAUGUGUUAAUAAGACUCAUACAGAUAGAUGUUAAAUGGCUCUUUGUUGUAAUUAAUUUGUGAUAGAUGUAUAAGUUGUAAUUUCCGCUAUUCA